rnacentral:rRNA from 1 species
GACGAACGCUGGCGGCGUGCUUAACACAUGCAAGUCGAACGAAAGGACGGGAAGAGCUUGCUCUUUCCGGAAUUGAGUGGCAAACGGGUGAGUAACACGUAAACAACCUGCCUUCAGGAUGGGGACAACAGACGGAAACGACUGCUAAUACCGAAUAAGUUCCAAGAGCCGCAUGGCCCAUGGAAGAAAAGGUGGCCUCUACCUGUAAGCUAUCGCCUGAAGAGGGGGUUUGCGUCUGAUUAGCUGGUUGGAGGGGUAACGGCCCACCAAGGCGACGAUCAGUAGCCGGUCUGAGAGGAUGAACGGCCACACUGGAACUGAGACACGGUCCAGACUCCUACGGGAGGCAGCAGUGGGGAAUCUUCCGCAAUGGGCGAAAGCCUGACGGAGCAACGCCGCGUGAGUGAUGACGGCCUCGGUUGUAAACGUACU